AUUGAACGCUGGCGGCAGGCCUAACACAUGCAAGUCGAGCGGGAGCUUCGGUUCUAGCGGCGGACGGGUGAGUAAUGCGUAGGAAGCUACCCGACAGAGGGGGAUACCAGUUGGAAACGACUGUUAAUACCGCAUAAUGUCUACGGACCAAAGUGUGGGACCUUCGGGCCACAUGCUGUCGGAUGCGCCUACGUGGGAUUAGCUAGUUGGUGAGGUAAUGGCUCACCAAGGCGACGAUCCCUAGCUGGUUUGAGAGGAUGAUCAGCCACACUGGAACUGAGACACGGUCCAGACUCCUACGGGAGGCAGCAGUGGGGAAUAUUGGACAAUGGGCGCAAGCCUGAUCCAGCCAUGCCGCGUGUGUGAAGAAGGCCUUCGGGUUGUAAAGCACUUUCAGUAGGGAGGAAGGGGUUGUAGUUAAUAGCUGCAACUUUUGACGUUACCUACAGAAGAAGCACCGGCUAACUCUGUGCCAGCAGCCGCCGUAAGAC
rnacentral:rRNA from 1 species